rnacentral:rRNA from 1 species
GACGAACGCUGGCGGCGUGCUUAACACAUGCAAGUCGAACGGAAAGGCCCUGCUUUUGUGGGGUGCUCGAGUGGCGAACGGGUGAGUAACACGUGAGUAACCUGCCCUUGACUUUGGGAUAACUUCAGGAAACUGGGGCUACUACAGGAUAGGAGCUCCUGCUGCAUGGUGGGGGUUGGAAAGUUUCGGCGGUUGGGGAUGGACUCGCGGCUUAUCAGCUUGUUGGUGGGGUAGUGGCUUACCAAGGCUUUGACGGGUAGCCGGCCUGAGAGGGUGACCGGCCACAUUGGGACUGAGAUACGGCCCAGACUCCUACGGGAGGCAGCAGUGGGGAAUAUUGCACAAUGGGCGGAAGCCUGAUGCAGCAACGCCGCGUGCGGGAUGACGGCCUUCGGGUUGUAAACCGCUUUCGCCUGUGACGAAGCGUGAGUGACGGUAAUGGGUAAAGAAGCACCGGCUAACUACGUG